UAGACCGACACAUGGGACACAUUUUGUGGGAUUUAAGCGCUCGUCUUGUGUCUGUGCUGGAGGACUGCUGCUGCUUCUUGCUGGUGGUGCUGAUCUGCCUCCAUGCUGAUAUCUGAAAAUCCAGAGAGGGCAAACUUGUCUCUUCAAUUUCAAGCUGAAAGGCUUUGGUGACCUCAUGAGCUCCUGCUUCUCAUCACUUUGGGAGGAAGUGGACAAUCUGGACUUGUUGCUCUGGAAGUGACUGACACUCUUAUAAGUGCUGAAGCCUGGAGGCAAUAAAUCAAAUCGAAAAUA